rnacentral:piRNA from 1 species
UGUUAUUAAGUUUACUUGUGAGCCCU